ensembl:lncRNA
UGAAGAAGACACUUGUGAAGAUGAAACUGAAGUCCAGUUCCAGUUUGUCUGAUCCUGAAAUGAGAGCCCAGCUCCUGUCACAGCUUCAGUCUGCUCUGGCAAAACGAGGGAUUUCUGACGUGACGCUGCAAUGGUCUCAGCCUCCAGCUGCUCAACAGGAAGUGAUGUGGAAGGAAGAUGCAUCAGCUCAGUGUGCUGGAGGAAAUAGAUGAUGAUGAUGGGAAAACUCUCGAUCAACUUGUUUAUCUUCUUUUAUUUACAUUGCUUUGAUAUUCACUGUUCCUCACAAUGUAAAGGAUCUAUUUACUAAAAUUUAGUUUUCAGGUGUAUUAUAUAUGAUAAAGUAAAAUAAUAAUAAUAAUAAAUAAAUAAACUAAUAAAAAUAAUGCA